rnacentral:rRNA from 1 species
GACGGAGGGUGCAAGCGUUGUUCGGAUUGACUGGGCGUAAAGGGCGUGUAGGCGGUUUGUCAAGUCGGGUGUGAAAGCCUGGGGCUCAGCCUCAGAAGUGCAUCCGAAACUAGCGAACUGGAGCGCGAUAGAGGAGGGUGGAAUUCCUGGUGUAGCGGUGAAAUGCGUAGAUAUCAGGGGGAACACCGGCGGCGAAGGCGGCCCUCUGGAUCGUUGCUGACGCUGAGACGCGAAAGCGUGGGGAGCAAACAGG